CUUUUAUGAGGGAAGAAAGUGACAUGGUUAAUAACCAUGUUACGUGACGGUACCUCAUGAAUAAGCCCCGGCUAACUCCGUGCCAGCAGCCGCGGUAACACGGAGGGGGCAAGCGUUGUUCGGAAUUACUGGGCGUAAAGGGCGUGUAGGCUGCUUAGCAGGUCAGAUGUGAAAUCCCAGGGCUCAACUCUGGAAUUGCGUUUGAAACCGUUAAGCUUGAGGCUAGAAGAGGAAAGCGGAAUUCCUGGUGUAGCGGUGAAAUGCGUAGAUAUCAGGAGGAACACCGGUGGCGAAAGCGGCUUUCUAGGCUAGUACUGACGCUGAUGCGCGAAAGCGUGGGGAGCGAACGGGAUUAGAUACCCCGGUAGUCCACGCCGUAAACGUUGAGCACUAGGUGUAGCGGGUAUCGACCCCUGCUGUGCCGCAGCAAACGCAUUAAGUGCUCCGCCUGGGGAUUACGCACGCAAGUGUAAAACUCAAAGGAAUUGACGGGGCCCCGCACAAGCGGUGGAGUAUGUGGUUUAAUUCGAUGCAACGCGAAGAACCUUACCAGGGCUUGACAUGUCGGUUUUAGGGAUCCGAAAGGUGACCGACCCUUCGGGGAGCCAUCACAGGUGCUGCACGGCUGUCGUCAGCUCGUGUCGUGAGAUGUUGGGUUGAGUCCCGCAACGAGCGCAACCCCUACCCUUAGUUGCCAUCAGUUCGGCUGGGAACUCUAGGGGAACUGCCGGUGACAAACCGGAGGAAGGUGGGGAUGACGUCAAGUCAUCAUGGCCCUUAUGUCCUGGGCUACACACGUACUACAAUGACCGGUACAAUGAGUCGCAAUACUGUGAAGUGGAGCCAAUCUCAAAAAACCGGCCUCAAUUCAGAUUGGAGUCUGCAACUCGACUCCAUGAAGUUGGAAUCGCUAGUAAUCGCGGAUCAGCAUGCCGCGGUGAAUCCGUUCCCGGGGCUUGUACACACCGCCCGUCACACCACGAAAGUUGGUUGCACUAGAAGUCGUCGGGCUAACCGCAAGGAAGCAGACGC
rnacentral:rRNA from 1 species